UGAACGCUGGCGGCGUGCUUAACACAUGCAAGUCGAACGAUGAAGCCUAGCUUGCUAGGUGGAUUAGUGGCGCACGGGUGAGUAAUAUAUAGUUAACGUGCCUCUUAGUCUGGGAUAGCCAUUGGAAACGAUGAUUAAUACUAGAUACUCCUUCUCUUCAUAAGUAGAGUCGGGAAAGUUUUUCGCUAAGAGAUCGGACUAUAUCGCAUCAGUUAGUUGGUAGGGUAACGGCCUACCAAGACAAUGACGCGUAGCGGGUUUGAGAGGAUGAUCCGCCACACUGGUACUGAGACACGGACCAGACUCCUACGGGAGGCAGCAGUGAGGAAUAUUGCACAAUGGGGGAAACCCUGAUGCAGCAACGCCGCGUGGAGGAUGACGCAUUUCGGUGUGUAAACUCCUUUUAUAUGUCAAGAAAAUGACGGUAGCAUAUGAAUAAGCACCGGCUAACUCC
rnacentral:rRNA from 1 species